CGGGUCGAGACUGGUAAGGCCGAAGCGAGCAGGGAUGUCGCGUCUUAAGUGACAUAAGGAUACCGAAGACAAGUGAUGCGACCAAGAGCAGAAGGAUCAGCCUGCCGAGAAGCCUUGAGUCGUCUUGGAAAGUGGGCGCCUACGAAGCGAACAGCGACGCCGUCCAAAGCCUACAGGAGGUUCCCGAAGACAAUGGCUCCCCGAUUAUGGGAAAGGACAAGCCUGCAUUGAAAAUGGAAGAACCUCAAGGGAAGACCGAGCUGCCCAGCGAUGCCGUAUGAAGCGACAUGAUGUUACCGAAGACAGGUGCAGAGACCAAGAGCAGUAGGACGCCCGUGCCGAUAUCGCCAGUCGCGGAGGAUCGGGGCAGGACGGGAGCGAGCAGCGACUGUGCCCGAAGCAACGGGCCUUCCAUCUACUUUUCCAGAGGGUGAUUGCCGUAGUGGAUGGUAGACAUGGUGGGGGUAAGACCGAAGCGAACAGCAGUAGUGUCUGAAGCCACAUGAGAAUAUCGAAGACUGUCUGCGCCCGGCUUAGGGGAAGGUCAAGCCUACCCAGUGCGCGUGUGCACCGAGGCUGUCGGGAAUGUCAGGCAACACGUGAGCGAGAAGCGACGAUGCUGGAAGCGUCAUGCACACAACAGAAGCAGUUUGCAUGCAGAGCCAAGGCAACACAGAAGCAAGCAGCGAUGCCGUAGGACGCGACAUCAGGGCACCGAAGACACUCUAAGCGCAUUUCAGUCUAAACAAGGCAGAGCCAGAGCAAGGCAGAAGCAAGCAGCGAUGCCGUAGUACGCGACACCAGGGUACCGAAGACUGGGAACACGACCAGGAGCAGAAGGACGCUCCUGCCGGUAGCUUAACCCUCGCCGUGGAAAGUGGGCGCCUAGCCUAAGUGUAACGCGACGCCGCCCAAAGCCUACAGGAGGUUACCGAAGACUACGACUCCGCGGCUAAUGGGAAUGACAAGCCUGC